rnacentral:lncRNA from 1 species
UCUGUAGGUUCCGUUAAUUUUACAAUUUAACAGUCACUUUCUGCAUUCUAUUUAAAUGGAGGGUUUUCUUUCUGUCCAGAAAAAACAGGCAAGAAAAAAGUGGGUGUCAAAAACUGGAUCCUCCUUUCACCUUUAAGCUGAGUCUUACUAUAUUGUUUUUAAUCAUUUUUAACAUGCUGUUUGACAUCACCAUGAUCACACUGUGGAACGUCUGGUUGGAAAGUUAUCUUUAUUCAAUUUCAAAAAGUUAUGUUGCCCUGAACACAUUGUUGUCCAUGUUUUCUGUUCAUACAUCCUGCAGUCACGUAUUGCAAUGUACAUGUAAGGCUUAUCUUUUGCACUUUUGUUCUCAUUAUUGUCAU